GCCGAGCCAUAGUUCAACACAAGUUUUCAACAAUGCAUAAAAUACUUGAAGUACAGUGAAUGUUGAAAAGGAAUCCAGUAACUUAUUCCUAAAAGCAUUUCAGCUAAAACAUGCAUCUUCAUAUAGCGUCAUUUUGUUCAUGUGCAACGAUCCAACAACAAAUCCUGAAUGUCUAAUGGAGAACCCUCUCGCCGACUACGACUAGCAAGCAUAAGCAUCACUCGUCACCCUUCAGGGCUCCGGUAUGCUGUAGCUGUACAUGAGCAUAUUUUGAUUUGGAUUCCACGCAUCAGAAGACUAAUAAGCUGAUGCUGCAUUGCUGCACUUCUGCCAUCAGAAUGCCACGCGUACGAAGACCGAUGUUAGCCAGCAGCCGCUAAAGAGACCAGAAGCAACAUGAAAUCAAGAGCAGAGGACCAAGGAAGGGAGGGAGGCCUGCAGCGGCUGAGUAGAGGAGAGGAGAGAGAAAUAAAUUGCAGCCAGCUAUGGUUUCAUUUAGGUAUUUAUAUUAUAUGGUUUUGGAUGGACCAAUGGGCCGCAUGAUCAUGAUCCAAAGCAAGUCUGGGAUUUUGAAAGGCCAGCACGUGCCAAUCUCUGCCCCCACACUUGAGCUUACGCGUCCUCGGUAGCUAGUGCCGGCCUUAUUCACUGUAGGUGGGAUUAAAUGGCUGCAUGACCUUUCGAGGAUUUUAGUAGCAUGCAUUCUCCUAGUGCCUCUCAAGCCAAUCAAAGGAGAUUCCAUAGACUUUGUUCUCUCAACUUGUAGACAAUAGGAUCAACAGGACUAAAGUGCCUAGAAAUUUCAAUUUCAGAGAGGAUAUAUAUUAUUUGAUAACUUGGUCGAUCUCAAAGGCUUUGGAUCCACAUGGUG
rnacentral:lncRNA from 1 species